rnacentral:rRNA from 1 species
AGUGAACGCUGGCGGUAGGCCUAACACAUGCAAGUCGAACGGCAGCACAGUAAGAGCUUGCUCUUACGGGUGGCGAGUGGCGGACGGGUGAGGAAUACAUCGGAAUCUACUUUUUCGUGGGGGAUAACGUAGGGAAACUUACGCUAAUACCGCAUACGACCUACGGGUGAAAGCAGGGGAUCUUCGGACCUUGCGCGAUUGAAUGAACCGAUGUCGGAUUAGCUAGUUGGCGGGGUAAAGGCCCACCAAGGCGACGAUCCGUAGCUGGUCUGAGAGGAUGAUCAGCCACACUGGAACUGAGACACGGUCCAGACUCCUACGGGAGGCAGCAGUGGGGAAUAUUGGACAAUGGGCGCAAGCCUGAUCCAGCCAUACCGCGUGGGUGAAGAAGGCCUUCGGGUUGUAAAGCCUUUUUGUUGGGAAAGAAAAGCAGCAGGUUAAUACCCCGCUGUUCUGACGGUACCCAAAGAAUAAGCACCGGCUAACUUCGUG